GAUGCGCGCUGACCCCGCUCCCUGGAGCCCGGGGGCGGCCGGCGGGGGGUGUGGGGGCUGCUGAGGGGGUUUGUUCCGGGACUCGGGGGUCUUUUCUCAAGUCUCUCAGAGCUGCAGAGCGGGGCUGCAGCGGGGCCCGGGGCUGUGGCACAGCUGUGGCACCGGCUCACACCACGGCAAAUCCCCCGCUCACGGCGGGUUCCAGCCGUUCCCAGCAGUGUCUUCCCGGCCCCCGCAGCGUGCCCAGGACACGCUCAGGGGGCCCAGUGCGAGGUCUCUCGCUUACUUUUGGACUUGGACAGACCUAAUCUGUGAAGAUAAUUAAAGUUCCUUUGCUCUGGAUGCUACUCUCCCAGGAAAGACCUGCCAGCCUGAAAGUCUGUCCCUGCAGCACCAUGGCCUCUGGAGCAUCUGGGAUAAUGCUCCCCUGGAACAGGGAAUCUGGCACUGCAGGGAGACAGGGCUGAAGUACCUGGGGCUGUUCUUCCCUCUGCCUUGUGGCAGGGCCUGCCCGUUCCCUGAGCCUGGCUGCCCUUGGCUCCCCUGCCAGCAGUAACUCAGCUCACUAAACCAAAGAGAUUGGGCCCGGCGAUGCCGCCCCUGCCGAGCGCGGAGCGGGUGCGGAGCGCGGUGCAGCUGUACCGGUACCUGCUGCGCUGCUGCCGCCGCCUGCCCGAGGGCAGCGUCCGCCAGCACUACCGGCACACCAUCCGACAGAGUUUCAAAGUUCAUGCUGAUGAAGAUGACCCUGAGCGAAUCCAGCAGAUCAUUAAAAGAGCCAUUGAAGAUGCUGACUGGGUGAUGAAUAAAUAUGAAAAACAGAAGAAGAGGAAGGAUGAAGACAAGAAGGACACUGUUCAAGAGGGAAAGCACCAAGGAGCUGGAAGAUACAACCGGGACAUGUCUGCAGCUCCAAAUGUCCGAGGUGCCAGCUGAGAACAUCAGACCAAAGGUGCUUCACUUGGGAGACCUUCAACAUUAUACUUGGUGAUAAUCUCACCCAUUUCACUGUGUGGCCGUUUAACCUGAGGAACAUCAGUUUUACAAAACAGCAUCUGCAGCAGC